rfam:Gossypium raimondii chromosome 7, whole genome shotgun sequence.
AAUCCAUGAUGUGGGCACUUCCUUAGCAUCAUCUUGAAACAUUCCCAGACCUCGUAUAGGGAUUAAACUUUGUAUUGUGUAAAAUUGGAGAUUGCUCACCUAAGCU